UGGGGAAUCUUGCGCAAUGGGCGAAAGCCUGACGCAGCGACGCCGCGUGGGUGAUGAAGGCCUUCGGGUUGUAAAGCCCUGUGGGGAGGGAAGAAUGAGUUCGGGUGAAUAUCCCGAGCGAUGACGGUACCUCCUUAGCAAGCACCGGCUAACUCUGUGCCAGCAGCCGCGGUAAGACAGAGGGUGCGAACGUUGUUCGGAAUUACUGGGCGUAAAGCGCAUGUAGGCGGCCGCGCAGGUCGGGUGUGAAAGCCCUUGGCUCAACCAAGGAAGUGCACUCGAAACCGCGCGGCUCGAGUCCCGGAGAGGAAGGUGGAAUUCUUGGUGUAGAGGUGAAAUUCGUAGAUAUCAGGAGGAACACCGGCGGCGAAAGCGGCCUUCUGGACGAGGACUGACGCUG
rnacentral:rRNA from 1 species